rnacentral:rRNA from 1 species
CCUACGGGAGGCAGCAGUGAGGAAUAUUGGUCAAUGGGCGCAAGCCUGAACCAGCCAUGUCGCGUGAAGGAUGACUGCCCUCUGGGUUGUAAGCUUCUUUUGUGGGGAGGUAAAGUGUAGAAUGUAUACCUUUUUUCAUGUACGUUAUGAAUAAGAAUCGGCUAACUCCGUGCCAGCAGCCGCGGUAAUACGGAGGAUUCGAGCGUUAUCCGGAUUUAUUGGGCUUAAAGGGAACGUAGGCGGGUUGUUAAGUCAGUUGUGAAAUGCAGGGGCUCAACUCGGAAACUGCAUUUGAUACUGGCAAUCUUGAGUGUAGUAGAGGGAGGUGGAAUGCGUGGUGUAGCGGUGAAAUGCGUAGAUAUCAGGAAGAACACCGAUUGCGAAGGCAGCCUCCUGGACUGUGACUGACGCUGAGGUGCGAAAGCGUGGGUAGCAAACAGGAUUAGAUACCCCUGUAGUC